UAAUAAUGCCAUGCAAGCCAACCUUAAUUAUCUCCGAUCUCAUCAUUCCCUAGGAGCUAAUCAUUUAAAGUAUCAUUAUAAAAUAGAAAAGAAAGAUUUUAUGACUUAUGGGACAACUCCAGUGACUAAUACUCUGUGUCAACCGGAUUUGUAUGUCGGAGUCAUUCCUCCUUUGGCAAGCAGUCCUUUCGACGCCUCGCCCAAAUUCCAAGAGGUCAUGGCCUACUGGCAAGUCGACGCCACUUUGGUCGUUGACUUUAACAUGUACUCGUCUGGUGUAGGCGUGCCUUAUCACAAAGCUAC
rnacentral:lncRNA from 1 species